rnacentral:lncRNA from 1 species
GAGAAGUCAGGCCAGAUUAAGCCAUAGUACGGAAAGAGCUAUGCUGCCUGUGAGCCCCGUCCAAGGACGUAAAAUGAAGUCAGGCCGAAAGCCACGGA